AGCCACGGCUAACUACGUGCCAGCAGCCGCGGUAAUACGUAGGUGGCGAGCGUUAUCCGGAAUUAUUGGGCGUAAAGAGGGAGCAGGCGGCACUAAGGGUCUGUGGUGAAAGAUCGAAGCUUAACUUCGGUAAGCCAUGGAAACCGUAGAGCUAGAGUGUGUGAGAGGAUCGUGGAAUUCCAUGUGUAGCGGUGAAAUGCGUAGAUAUAUGGAGGAACACCAGUGGCGAAGGCGACGAUCUGGCGCAUAACUGACGCUCAGUCCCGAAAGCGUGGGGAGCAAAUAGGAUUAGAUACCCUAGUAGUCCACGCCGUAAACGAUGAGUACUAAGUGUUGGGAGUCAAAUCUCAGUGCUGCAGUUAACGCAAUAAGUACUCCGCCUGAGUAGUACGUUCGCAAGAAUGAAACUCAAAGGAAUUGACGGGGGCCCGCACAAGCGGUGGAGCAUGUGGUUUAAUUCGAAGCAACGCGAAGAACCUUACCAAGUCUUGACAUCCCUCUGACCGCUCUUUAAUCGGAGCUUUCCUUCGGGACAGAGGAGACAGGUGGUGCAUGGUUGUCGUCAGCUCGUGUCGUGAGAUGUUGGGUUAAGUCCCGCAACGAGCGCAACCCCUGUUGCCAGUUGCCAGCAUUAAGUUGGGGACUCUGGCGAGACUGCCGGUGACAAGCCGGAGGAAGGCGGGGAUGACGUCAAAUCAUCAUGCCCCUUAUGACCUGGGCUACACACGUGCUACAAUGGACAGAGCAGAGGGAAGCGAAGCCGCGAGGUGGAGCGAAACCCAUAAAACUGUUCUCAGUUCGGACUGCAGUCUGCAACUCGACUGCACGAAGAUGGAAUCGCUAGUAAUCGCGAAUCAGCAUGUCGCGGUGAAUACGUUCUCGGGCCUUGUACACACCGCCCGUCACACCAUGAGAGUCGGUAACACCCGAAGCCGGUGGCCUAACCGCAAGGAAGGAGCUGUCUAAGGUGGGACUGAUGAUUGGGGUGAAGUCGUAACAAGGUAUCCCUACGGGAACGUGGGGAUG
rnacentral:rRNA from 1 species